rnacentral:tRNA from 1 species
CCUGAUGGCUCAGUUGGUAAAGAAUCUGCCUGCAGUGCAGGAGACCCCGGUUCAAGUCCUGGGUCAGGA